rnacentral:rRNA from 1 species
GGCGGACGGGUGAGUAACAUUUAGGAAUCUGCCUAGUAGUGGGGGAUAGCUCGGGGAAACUCGAAUUAAUACCGCAUACGACCUACGGGUGAAAGGGGGCGCAAGCUCUUGCUAUUAGAUGAGCCUAAAUCAGAUUAGCUAGUUGGUGGGGUAAAGGCCCACCAAGGCGACGAUCUGUAACUGGUCUGAGAGGAUGAUCAGUCACACCGGAACUGAGACACGGUCCGGACUCCUACGGGAGGCAGCAGUGGGGAAUAUUGGACAAUGGGGGCAACCCUGAUCCAGCCAUGCCGCGUGUGUGAAGAAGGCCUUUUGGUUGUAAAGCUCUUUUGUCCGGGACGAUAAUGACGGUACCGGAAGAAUAAGCCCCGGCUAACUUCGUGCCAGCAGCCGCGGUAAU